GCCAGGGAUGUAGCUCAGUGUGAAGGCCCUGGGUUCCAUCCCUAGUAUCACAAAUUAAUCAAAGCUGUGAAUUGUUUAUUUCUGGAACUUUUCAUUUGAUAUUUUCAGACAACAGUUGGCCUGAGUAACUGAAAAAGACGUGACGUGAAGAGUGCAUUUUCACGGAGAACGAAGGCAGCCCACGGGCAGGAUGAAGAGGAGGUGGGGCCAGAGGCAGCCCCAAGGGCACAGUUAUGGACACUCUCGCAAGAAGGGCAGGAAGGCAGAUUUCUGUGGCAGCUGCAUAUCAAGGAUUUUGGAAGGCUUCCCUCCAUCUUUUCCAAAUUUAGAUUAUCUGGAUUCCGGGACUACGAAGGUUCUGGG
rnacentral:lncRNA from 1 species